rnacentral:rRNA from 1 species
CCUACGGGCGGCAGCAGUGAGGAAUAUUGGUCAAUGGCCGGAAGGCUGAACCAGCCAAGCCGCGUGAAGGACGAAGGUGCCACGCAUUGUAAACUUCUUUUGUCAAGGAACAAAAUCAGGCUCGCGAGCCCUACCGCGUGUACCUGAAGAAAAAGCAUCGGCUAACUCCGUGCCAGCAGCCGAGGUAAUACGGAGGAUGCGAGCGUUAUCCGGAUUUAUUGGGUUUAAAGGGUGCGUAGGCGGUCUGUUAAGUCAGCGGUCAAAGCCCGGGGCUCAACACCGGCGAGCCGUUGAAACUGGCUGUCUUGAGAUGGCGAGAUGUAUGCGGAAUGCGCAGUGUAGCGGUGAAAUGCUUAGAUAUUGCGCAGAACUCCGAUUGCGAAGGCAGCAUACCGGCGGCGAUCUGACGCUGAGGCACGAAAGCGUGGGUAUCGAACAGGAUUAGAUACCCUUGUAGUC